CAAACAAAACAAGUGUUAAUGUAUUGUAAUUACCCUGCUAAAAAAAAAACAAUAGAAGCCCAAUAGAAACCAUCACAGAAAUUCCAAUGGUUUCCAUUAAAAUACCAUUAUAAACCAUUAGCUUUUUACAAAAUUCCUUUUUGUAGUGUGUUUUGGGCAUUUUUCCAAUAGGAUUUAACAUCCCACCAAUAGAAUCCAUCACAUACCAGUAGACACCAUUAUAGUUUCCAUUAAAACCAAUACAAUUCCCAUUAUAACCGUUAAAACCAUUACAUUUUCUAUUGUGUUUUGGGCAGGGUUCUAUUGUUUUUUUUUUCAGCAGGGUAAAAGGAUAGUUAACCCAAAAAUUAAUCAUUUGUCAUAAUUCCAAACCUGUAUGAAUUUCGUUCUUCUGUUGAACAUAAAAUAAGAUAUUUUGAAGAAUGUUAGUAACCAAAAAAACUGUUGAUCCACAUUGGACAAAAAUACUAUGGAAGUAGAUGGGGACCAGGACCUGUUUGGUUACCAACAUUCUUUAACAUAUUAUUUUCUUUUCCCCACAAAUCUUGGCAGAAGAAAAAAGUCACAGGUUUGGAACAACUAGAGGGUGAAAAAUAAAUCACAGAAUUUUAAUUUUUGUAUGAACUAUCCCUUUAAAUUAUCCCAGUCAUCCUCUAUUAGUUGUGGGGAUCUUUAGUUAUUUUUUCUGCAGACAUUAUGACUCGAACGGAUUCGUGUUAAAAUCAUUGAUUUGUUCAGGAACCAAACACCACUUAUGUGUGUUGUUCGGUUCCCUCUGUUUUGACUUCGUUUUAAAGCCAUUUUCUUUUACGUUGCAAAAACCCUUACCAAAAAGUAGUAUACUUCAAUUAUAUUUUUAAGUAUACUUUAUGUAGUAAGAAUACAAAUAUCAGUGUACUAGUAGUAUACUUGUAAGUGUCCUAUUUCAAUACUCCUUGGGACUAAAUUGGCCCACUUUCUAGUAUAUAAAAGUAUACUUUUAAGAAUACUUUAAGUAUAAAAGUAGUAAACUUUGAGUACACAACUAUUUUACAUCACUGUUUUUAGCUUGUACUGCAACUAUACUAAAAGUGAACUUACAGUAUACUGAUAGUUUACUAAUUAAAUAUGUGUAGUAGCAUUUUUAGUACACUUUGAAGUAUAGUCUCAGUAAACUACUAGUUUAGUAGUCUUAUACUGCAAGUAUACUCAUAAGUUUUCUUUAAGUGAACUUUACAUCAUACUUUAAGUAUACUACUAUGUCCCUAUUAAGGUAUUAAUUUGUAUAUAUUUUGUUAUAUGAAUAUCUGAACAUACAAAACAUCCAAAGAAAGAACAGGGCAUCUGCUUGUAAACAAAAACAUUUUAUUCUAGCUUCGUGCAUUCUUUUUUUAAACACUUGAAUGUGGGUAAAGAAAUAAAAAACAUUUUGAACAAAAAGCUGAAAAAAAGACUAUGAAUUGGAUUCAGAAUGAUAAUCAAAACGUAGAUGGCUACUGGAUCAACACCCCAAAGCUUGACGGUCAUUACCUCUUCAUUGGUCGACAUUUUAUUCCAUAACGUUACACAGUUUUGAUGCUGUUUUAUGUCAGAUGAUAGUGUUAGAUUGCAUAUGGAAGCAUCUGUUGUUUCUUUUUCUUUUUCACUUGUGUUUUUGGAAAUUCAGUACAGAAGAUGUGUACUAGCACCCCUACCAUAUAACAAUGAAAGCUCAAAUAUAUUUAGACCUUUUCUAAGUCAAGUAUACUUAAAUGUAAUUUUAAGUAUAUUUCUGAGAAGUACAUAAAGCCCAUUUCUGAGAAGUACAUAAAAAGUAAACUAAAAGUAUACUUUCCUAUUUUUUUUUUUUUUUUAGUUUAAAAGAAGUAUACUAAUAGCACACUUGAAUAAACUUUUUUUUCGUAAGGGAAUAGACGAAGUAAAGGGAAAGGGCGAUAAUAACUAUAACAAUAUAAAGUUUUAAAAAUCGUUAUAGGCCUAUCGAUUUUUCGAAGUUCACACAGUCAUAAAGAUAAUGUUGAAUUUGAGUAACGAUAAAUACAUUGACAGCCAAUCAGAAUUCAGUGCAAUAUAUCUACAGAUGAACAGCGCGCGCAUAGAAUAAACGUACUUUGUACGCCUUAACGUACGUCGGUCACAUUUCGUCUAAAAUUCGCGGGGGAAAAACGGUACAUUGUCUACCGUCAAAAGUAUGGCGAUGUAUGAAGUGCUGCCCACACAGAAAUCACUUACAAACCGAGCAGCUUUCUGUUGGUCAGCAUGGCGAAUCUGCAUGAGGAUUGAAUGAAUGGAAUUGAAUGGGAUUCGCCCGCGAAAAUACCUCAGAGCAACGAGCCAUGAGACCUGCUCCGAGCCCGAUGAGAGGAGACACUGAGAUGAUGACCAGCGUUAGUUUCCAGCCCCUUGCAAAACCCAUGAGGAAGCCGCACACGAAUGUAGUGAAACGCUGGAUGAAGAUCCCCACCUGAUCAGCAAUGGCAUCGUUUAUCUUGUUGAUGUCACUAGGAUCAUAUGGAGGCACACAUGAGACAAUAUUAGGCUGUGACUGGCUUCAAAACGCUCCUCUCAAGCCAUCUGGAUGUGUGCGGAGCGGCAGCGUGCUUGAGAGGAGGAGCUGGGAAAUCAUGUUCAUCAAGUGUGUCCACCAUCCAUCUGGAGGACAUGAAGGAAGAAGUGUGUAUCUUUCUGGUGUGGUGUUCUUGUGCAUGGAUUCUACAAGAUCAGUGUGAUGAAAGAAUUUCUCUAUGGUGCAAGAUGAUGAACUGCAUUGAACACGGCGUCUCAGAUGUGCAGCCCGUACCUGUUACUCGGGGUGAGGUGCACAAUUCCUGUUGCAGUCUUAUUUUCCCACCUGCAUCUCUGACUGUUGGCUGCUCAAAGGUGCUGUUUUUGCAAUAGAUUUACUAUUGUGACCAUCAUAACGACAUACCGUACAGUAUUAAAAGUAAAAAAAAAAAAAAACACCUUAGGAUUUUCCAGAUUGUAGUUAACUUUAGAGACCAAAGAUGAAGCACUGAUGAAUUUGUAUUGUUUUAACCGACUGAAUGGAGGACUUCUGUUUUGAUUGAAGGUUGAAAUGUUUAGUUGCACUAUAAAGUUUAGUUCCACCUUUCAGUGAGUGUUUAUGCAAAGGUGAGUGAGCUGAUAUCCAACAAUAUGGCAUACUGCUGAUUUGGAUUUGUUAUGGGCAGCUUGACAGCAGCCACUGCCACAUUUCGGCGUGUUGCGCAAUAGCGCCACCACGUGGCCAGUUGUUAAUAAGAUCAGUGCAGUAGUCACGUUGUCACCGAUUUGAGCUCUGCUGGGGCACAUUGCGGAUCCAAAUUUAGACAACAGCACCAAAAUAUUUGCAUUCGACUUUGGCAGAAGAUCUGCAGACCAUUUCAAAAGCCUUGCUAUUUAAAUGUACACAUAUGAAGAGGUUGCUGAAACUAUAGAUGUGACUUGUUGAAAUGGUAGUUGGUUUUCCAAACAUAUUCAUUCUGAAUAGAGGUUUCAUGCAAGAGGCUUGUUUAACAUGAACCCAAAUGGGACUUUCAGCAAGCCAUUUUUUCUACAUCUGGUUUGUCAAAGUCAAAUACAUAGUUGUGCAAAAAUACCUGGCAAGGGAGAGGGAUUCAUCCAAAUAGGUUCAAAACUGACUUUCCUCUUAUUUUAUGCUUCUCAGCAUGCAAUACAGAUACAUUUUGUCCCACCUUUAUUAGAAUGGUGUCUUGCAUGUAUAAAAAGGACUUCACAGUGCAAAACCGUAGCAGGAUUCCUACUAGACAUGUAAAUCAAUACUUAAACCUUUUAAAAUUUGUCAGGAAUCCACACAAAGUAUUUUUAAAAACUAUGUACAAGAUUGUGUACAUUUUUAGCCACUUUGAUCAUUUAGAGGCCUUAAUUUCAUGUAUUAAAUGUGAAGUAGGAUUUAGUGUUAUGACACGGGACCAAGAGAAAUGGUUCACGGUAAGACAGUUUUAUUUCCAUCUUCACAAAUUGGAAACAUUAAAUAGAACUUCAGAAUGACCAGCGAUAAAGAUACAAUUUUUUUUUUUUUUGAAUGUGACGUUACAAACCAAGUGCUCCUCCCUUUCAUUCAAC